GAGCUACCCAGAUGUGGCAUUCAGUCUGGAUUCAGCAUUCAUUCGUACAGUUAUAUAUGACAGAAAUGAGAGAGAGGAAGGAACACCUCAGAGAUAAAGUCGGCUGAUGAUCAGUGUGUUCAGAGACAAACUCUCAGACAGAAAUUCCUUUCAUCUGAGAGACCUUCUCUGGAGGCAUGGACGCGUUGUAGCUGUUUCUGCAGGGUGGAGUGUCUGCAAGUCUCAGGGGGCUUCACAUCACAUGCUUCUACUCUCCAAUGGUCAAGAUUAAUUCCAGUCUGAUUCAUGGCGUAAUAGUUCUGAGAUGGAUCUGGCUCAGUGGUCAGAGCAGCUUCUCAGCCACAUGUGACGAUUAAACGAGCACAUUUUUCAACACAAUGACAUUGAUGAGUUAAAGUGGGACAGCUGUUUAAAGAUGCGGGCUGGCACUGGCUGAUGGAAAAAUAAGAGAAGAGGAGGAAGAUCAAGGGGGGAAAAGGAAGAAAACAAGAAGCUGGAGGACAGGAGAAAUGCAGAUGGGUCGAUAAAGGGAGAAAGAGGGUUGUGAGGAACGAUUGACAACAGACAAAGAGAGGUUCACGUAGACCAAACAUCUGACUGAGUUCUGUACCGUCUCUCUGCCUCUCAUGUCUGUCUGAAGUCUUUUUAAGCUUGUAUCAUAAAACAAUCAGUGUGUUAUUAUGAAGAA